UCCAACCAAAAAAAGGGAAAAUGAAAAGAAAAAGGAGUUCCAAUUGCAACUCAAUAAUUCGAGAAGUUCUUUUACUACUCAUCCUUGUGUUGGCCAUGAUAACAAAUGUAAGAUCAACUCCCACAGAUGAGAUGUUUGGAAGAUCAAAUGAUGUCAAAUACAAUCCUCAAGAUUCCCCUCGAGGUCAUGGAAGUCAUGGAGGUGAGAGAGGGCGUGGUGGGUGAGCCACAAGGAGAUUUCUUUUAUCAAAUACUAUUUUAAUCUCUGUAUUCUGUACUUUUAUCUUUUGUUCAAUCUUAAUUUUUAUUUUUGUAUUUUUAAACGUUCGUUUUGGUUUUUAUACUUUUAACUUUUGUUUAUUUUAGUCUAUGUACUUUCUCGAUAUUGGUUUGGUAUCUCUACUUUUAAUUAAAAGUUAUUAUGUUGGUUCCUUCA